UACGAAGGGGGCUAGCGUGGCUCGGAAUCACUGGGGGUAAAGAGGGCGUAGGCGGGUCUUUAAGUCAGGGGUGAAAUCCUGGAGCUCAACUCCAGAACUGCCUUUGAUACUGAGGAUCUUGAGUUCGGGAGAGGUGAGUGGAACUGCGAGUGUAGAGGUGAAAUUCGUAGAUAUUCGCAAGAACACCAGUGGCGAAGGCGGCUCACUGGCCCGGUACUGACGCUGAGGUGCGAAAGCGUGGGGAGCAAACAGG
rnacentral:rRNA from 1 species